AUUGAACGCUGGCGGCAGGCCUAACACAUGCAAGUCGAGCGGAUGAAGGGAGCUUGCUCCUGGAUUCAGCGGCGGACGGGUGAGUAAUGCCUAGGAAUCUGCCUGGUAGUGGGGGAUAACGUCCGGAAACGGGCGCUAAUACCGCAUACGUCCUGAGGGAGAAAGUGGGGGAUCUUCGGACCUCACGCUCUCAGAUGAGCCUAGGUCGGAUUAGCUAGUUGGUGGGGUAAAGGCCUACCAAGGCGACGAUCCGUAACUGGUCUGAGAGGAUGAUCAGUCACACUGGAACUGAGACACGGUCCAGAGUCCUACGGGAGGCAGCAGUGGGGAAUAUUGGAGAAAGGGCGAAAGCCUGAUCCAGCCAUGCCGCGUGUGUGAAGAAGGUCUUCGGAUUGUAAAGCACUUUAAGUUGGGAGGAAGGGCAGUAAGGUAAUACCUUGCUGUUUUGACGUUACCAACAGAAUAAGCACCGGCUAACUUCGUG
rnacentral:rRNA from 1 species